rnacentral:rRNA from 1 species
AUGAACGCUAGCGGCAGGCCUAAUACAUGCAAGUCGAACGGGCGGUAGCAAUACCGCUAGUGGCGCACGGGUGCGUAACGCGUAACCAACCUGCCCUUGACUGGGGGAUAGCCCGCCGAAAGGCGGAUUAAUACCGCAUAAACUAGCAGCCUGGCAUCAGGUAACUAGUAAAGAUUUAUUGGUCAAGGAUGGGGUUGCGUGACAUUAGCUAGUUGGCGGGGUAACGGCCCACCAAGGCGACGAUGUCUAGGGGACCUGAGAGGGUGAUCCCCCACACUGGCACUGAGAUACGGGCCAGACUCCUACGGGAGGCAGCAGUAGGGAAUAUUGGGCAAUGGACGAGAGUCUGACCCAGCCAUGCCGCGUGCCGGAUGAAGGCCUUCUGGGUUGUAAACGGCUUUUCUCAGGGAAGAAAAAGGGUAUGCGUACCACACUGACGGUACCUGAGGAAUAAGCACCGGCUAACUCCGU